UUUAAACAGAAAACACGUUUAUCUUACGCUGUGGUGAAUUAAAAUAAUAUCUGUAUUAAAUAACAUAUCUGCGUAAUUAAAAAGAAGAUUGAGGAAGCUGAUUUUAUAACUAAGAGAAGAAAGAUUGGGAAAAAUAAAAAUGGAGUUGAUUAGGAAAAAUGAUUAAAAGGAUAAGGAAAGCCGAACAUCUAGAAUAAAACAUGAAAAAGAAGUACACAAUACACUCAUUUAUUUAACGAAGAAAAAAAGAGAAAGAAAAAAAAGAAAAAAGAGAGACAUGAAAGAGAGAGAAAAAGAGUG